UAAAAAUUUACUUAUUUUAGGUAGUAACAGAUUUCUUGAAACCUAAAGAAUUUGGCGGUAUUUUAAAUAAUUAGAGGAACCUGUUAAAUAAAUGAUAAUCCACAACAUAUCUUUCCUAAAUUAAGUUUGUAUACCGUUGUUUUCAGAUUAUAUUUAAAGAUUAUGAUCAAAAUUAAAAAAUUUUCAUAAAUCAAAUCAAGGUGCAGCACAUUUAGGUUUUAAUGGGUUACAAUAUAUUUAUAUAUACGGAUUUAUUAUGAAAAUAUUUUUUGAAGGUGGAUUUAAAAGUAAUUUUAAAUUAAAAUGUAAAAAUGAAUAAAAAUUUAAAAUAUGC
rnacentral:rRNA from 1 species